UGUGAGGUGGUCGAAGUUAAUAGUCGGUAGAUUGUAAAUCUAUUUAUAAGUGUUUUACUUUCUCAU
rnacentral:tRNA from 1 species